GAAAGAAAGAGAAAACACAGGCUGACCAUACAUAGCAGGAGCUGGUACUUGCUUCUCCCUUAAGUAUGAGCCAUUAAUUUACAGCCAUGUGCAAAUGCCUAUGUGCACACGUUUGCACCUCUCCACAUGCACAGAAAAUAUGUGCCUCACGUCUGGAACAUUAUUAGUGAAUUUAGAAUGGGAGAAAGAUGGCAGGUUAUGGUUUCGGGUGGAAAGAUCUGGAGGCACACACACAAAAAAUGAGCAUCUACCCUUCUUCCUUGAGCAACUGCUGGGUUGAAAGGUACUUCCAGACUCGCUUCACCUAGUCAAUGGUCCUUCCUCUGUUCCCAGAGUGCAGAUGCGUGCUUGCAACAACAUAGGUGCUUGAUAACUAUGCAUGGAAUAUAAAAUCUGAAUCAGCAAAUUAGGGAAGUAUGAGAAGUUGUAGAAGAGAAGGCUGAGUUGAGGUGAUACUGAAUGGAUUCAACAGUUUCUCUACCAAACAUCUGUCGGACCUCCAUUAUGUGCCAGGCACAGUUCUAAGUUUUAGCUCAGCUAAGACAGACACAAAGCCUUGAGCUCAUGAGACUUGCAUCGGAGUGAGAGUCCCAGCAGCUGCCAUAUGUUGAGUUCUUGCUAUCUGCCGGCACAGUGGAGAACACCUGUGAUGUGAAUCCUACAGAGCGUUGUAGAAGGCAGGUGCUAUCAUCAACUUUACUUCUUCCCAGGUGUGGAAACAACUUCAGAGCAAGUUCACCUCAUGGGUAAGCAGGAGAGCAAACUCCUCCCAAACAUGGGGUUCCAUUUCCUACCCUCUUAGCGUCUCCCUUAUGCAACUCUUGAAGAAAACACUAUCUCAUGUAAUGCUGGCCAGAAGUCCAUGUAGUUGGCAAUUGGCUGCAUUUUUCUGAUGAAAUGAAACUCAGGAAAGUUAAAUCACUUUCACACAUCACAAGCUAAUGGGUGGCAGGUAGGGCAGGAGGGAGAUGGCCCUGGUUUGGUGUCAGAGCCCAUGUUCUUAAGCCCUAAAUUUAUGCCCUUCUCAAGUCUAUAGGUUUGUGGGCAGAUAUAGCAGGGGGUAUCCUUUUUUAACAGAGCUCAGAUCCCAAGGUUCUCAGACUCUAAAGGAGUGCAAGAUUCAUGAGGGGAUUUUAAACAUAGACUUUGAAUCAGCAGGCCAGAUGUUUCCACUAUCCUCGUGUGACCUUCUGGGGCUCCCUAAUUUCUCACUCAUAGCCAUAUUCACCACAUGGCGGGCUUUGUGCUACAGGGCUCCUUGGAAUCUGCAGGACAUCAUGGCCUAAAUCACUCCUUCCUCUUAGUCUCUGAAACAGACAUAUGUUAUUUCGCUUAGCCAGGUCCAGACCUUCUUCUGAUAAUAACAUCUCAAAUUUCCUUUGGAGGAACCAUGUCUCCCUCAUCCCAACUCACAGGAUUUGAAUAGAUUUGACUACUCCCCCAUGGUUCUCCAUGUGACAAGGUACUUUGGUGGACCCUAUGGGGAACAAGAAACCAUCUUUUCACUAGGGCUGCAAAGUGCAUAGAAUGCAUGCUGGAUGCUCUGUUACUAUGAAGGGAGAGUCUGCCAGAGAAUAAAGCCAGCAUUAGGGUAAGCAGAGAUGAAAAUUAGAGAAAGAAUCCUGACGAAAUCUUGGAAUGGCUGGAUCUUGCCCUGGGAGUAGGCUUAUUGCAAAAAAUUCUGUGAUAAGUUAAGACAAUAAAGGCCCUUUUAUGCUUAAGUCAGAUUAAAUUAGAUGUUGACACUUGCUGCCAAAAGAAUCCCCCCAAAAAUCUCCUUUAGGCCAAAUUUUCUUGUACUCCAGAAGAAUCUCCCUCAGAAACUGGAGUGGCUCAUGAUAGUAUUUCACACUAAAGUGCCAAUGACUAGGAGUGCUUGCUGACUCAACCACUGGAAUGUUCUGGAGAUGAAAUCGAUAUUUGAAAGCAACUGGAGGGUAACUGACAGUCGGCCACUGCUCUACACAAAAUGAGAAAACGCUUCUCACUGGUUAAAGAGGGGUGAUGCUUCUGGAAAGGACACAGUCCCCAGUAAUGGAAACAACUCCACGCCUUGCCUCUAGUUUUGCUGUUGUUACCUAGGCUGGAGUGCAAUGGCACAAUCUCGGCUCACCGCAAUCUCCGCUUCCUGGGUUCAAGCAAUUCUCCUGCCUCAGCCUCCCGAGUAGCGGAUUACAGGCACGCGCCACCAUGCCCAGCUAAGGCAGAAGACAAGGGUGAUUAUUUUCAAUUGGACAAAUAUUUAGAUUUUCUCCUCUGAAGAUAAGUCCCAGUGUCUCAAUUGCUAAUUCACUUAUAAUUCUCUAUAAAUUAUUUCACUAUUGGCCUUGGAAGAAAAGACCAACUCAUUCAUACGACUGGAAUUUCUUCCCGCAAUUUCAUAGAGGAAUUCAUUUUCUAAACAUGAGGAUUGAUCAAUAAACAACUUUCAAUCCCUAGGAGGACUUUAAAGGGAUUUAGAUUGUCAAACACUGACUCAGGAUUUGUUCUGGUAGUUGUUAAAAAUUACAUAAACAUAAGUGUUUUUUUCGAACUUCAUCAACCAAAGAGUCAGUAGUAGGAGAAGAGAAGACUUGGACUUGUUAUUGAUUAGUUGCUAUACAUGCUCUUCCAAAGAAAGUUAAUCAACAAGGUGUUGACAAUAUUAGCACAGUCUUACAUCUCUCUUGGAAAUUAUUGCUCACAAUUGCAGAGUCGCUGCUGCAUUCCUCCUUCCUGCCAGGAACUAAUAGAGGUAUCAAUGAGUCACUGAUGGCUUCUGGACAAAGAAGUGACAUGCCGUUAGUGUCAUUUUAAUAACAUUAACAUGGAAAUAGUAGUGCACAUGAUGGAUUGGCUCAUGAUGGAAGCUGGUUAUUAGGACCGUGAGAAAUCUCCUGGGCCUAGGGCCCAACUACAGUCACUGCCUGCUGCUGAGCUCAGCCUUUUGUCUGGGACAGAACACACAUCUUCCCACACCAGAAAGUCCUGUAAUCCUAAGGCAGUAAGCAGACAUCCUGCUCUGUCUACCCUCUUGUGAAAGACUUUCUUAUCAAAUAAUAGGUACAUAUCUGGGUACUAGAGAUGCAACAGAGAACAAAAUCAGCAAGACUUCCUGAUCUCCUGGAGCUUGUAAUCUAACAGGUGAGGCAGACAAUAAACCAGAUGCUUGGCUAAAAAUCUGUGUAUUUGAGAUAAUAAUAUGUUAAAGAACAAAAUGAAGGAAGGUGGAGAGUAGGGAAUUUCUCCGGCUAGGAUAAGAAGAGGGUUGUAACUUUAGACAGGUUGGUUAGGGAGGGCUGGGCUGAGACAAGAUUUGAGGGGAGACUCUAAAGAAGUGAGGGAACAAGUUCUGAGGUUGCCCAAGAGAGGCAGCUUCCAAGUUCUUGGAAGAGCACGUGUUAGUGCUCCAAGAAGGAGCCAUGGCUGUGUCUUGGAAACAUUGUGUUUCUGGUUGGUGUACCUGGAGUAAGGGAAAGGGCAGUGGGAGGAAAUGGGGCCCUAGUAAUGCAGGUCUCAUAGGUCAUUGUGGGGAUGUUGGUUUUAAUGACAAGUGACAUAGAGGCCAGCGGAUGAUUCUGAGUAGAGAGGUGCCUUGACAUGAGUCUCAUUCCAACAGGAUUAUUCUGGCUGCUGUGAGGAUAACAUAAUGUGGGUCAGGCAAGUGAGGAGUCCAGCGUCACAAUACACAGCAGUAACACUGGUGACUUAGACCAGGGAGGCAGAAAUGGAUGGGGUUGUUUCCUGGCACGAUACUGUUCUUUUGUCUGCUUACCCUUGUUUCUCCAUUUCUAGCAAUAGUUACACAUUCAUGAUUCCCGCUGACAUUUCCUGCACUUUCACGAGUUUCUUGAGCCCUGUCUGUUCCCCUGGUUUCAUUAUUAUCAAACAGCUCAGCUGUGAUAGACUGCUGAUCUUCAUCUUCAUAUUGAUUAAUUUCAUUUUCACAUGCAUCACCCGCAUUUCCAGCAUCUUCAGCACAGUUUUCAAAUGAUGAGUCAUUUGCGAACGACAGAUUUUCAUUACAGGAGUCAUCUUUGGAGCAGGAUGUGUUGGACUAGACUCAGGUAAAGUGUUUGCUCAAUUCUGUUUAGCGCUCUCUCUCAUGAAAUGGGAUUUGAUGGGUUUCUUUGAGCCCGGCCACUGUCGAAAUAAUUACAAAGCUGUUUUCUCUUAUUUAUUUGCUGAUCAACUGGGAAUUAUGUUAUUGUUUUACAUGGGAAAUGUAAUUCCAGCAGUCACUACUUUUAAAUGAAAUGAUAACUGUUGCAUUGUGAUUACAUAACGUGUCGAUUAUGAAAUGAGGACCUCUGUCCCUUGAGUCUGGGUUCCAGACUGAGUAUGGGGGAGAAACCUCACUCCAGCUAUUCCCCAGUUGGUUAACAGAGGUCUCUCAUUUAUGGCAGGGGGUACAAAUUGAAAUCAUUCUUAAGACUUGUCAGCCAACGUAACUGGGUGAAUCAGGCACAUGUAAGAAAACAGAGACUGGAGGGUACUGUUUCACUGAACUCUACAGGAACAAGCCAAGACCAGCACUCUUUUCUUAUCCUGCCUAAAUGUGAUUUCAAUAUUAAUAAAUUUCCUUAAAAGAAGCCAGAAAUCUGGAUUACUAUGGAUACUCUGAUAUUUACUUAUUUUUCACUUUUAGAGAAACAAAAUGGGUCUUUGAACCAGACACAAUUCAAGUUGUCCUGUAAUUCCUUAUUCACAAAGAUACCUUUGCACUUUCUGUAUUUAUUAUGCUGCUUCAAUAAGGACAACCAUAUAGGACUCUGUAUAGUCAAAGCUUGCUAUAACUGACAGCAAAGAAUCUUACUUAGGAAAAGUAACCAAAUAAUUUUUCCUUCUGCUGUGAUAAAAUACCAUAGACCAGGUAGCUUAUAAACAACAGAAAUUGGUUUUUCAUAGUUCUACAGGCUGGAAGGUCCAAGAUCAAGCCAUCAACAGACUCUGUGUCUGGUUCACAGAUGGCGCCUUCUUGCUUUGUCCUCACACGGCAGAAGGGACAAAUGAGCUCCCUUGGGCCUGUUUUAUAAGGACACUCAACCCGGUUAUGAGGACUCUGCCCUCAUGACUAAAUCACCUCCCAAAAGGCCCCACCUUCUAAUACCACCAUCCUGGAGGUUAGAAUUUCAACAGAUAAAUUUUGAGGGACACAGACAUUCAGACCACAGUAGGGUGGUUUUCUAACAUACCCAUGUUCUAACACUGGCCCCUGGAGGACUGAGUAUUGAAUCCUGGCCUGAACUGACCCUUAGGCUCUUGGUUGUGUGCUACACUUCCCACCAGUGAGUUGAUGGUGUUAGUAGCAUUUGAACUCAAGACUCUGACUCCAAAUCCUGUUUUCUUUCCUUUUUUUUCUGGUCCUUCUUUUCUUCAAAAUCCAGUGCAAGUACUCACUUGAGUCAGGCCUGGAGCACCACCGGUUUAUAAGGAAACAUCCUCUUUGGAUCAUCUAUUCAUGGCCACCAUAGGAUUUAGAAGAAAUGCAGGAUCUGAACUGAAACAAGUGUUUUCUAAUCUCAGUGCUGCAGCUAGUCUGCCUGGCAACUAGAUCCCAGGCACCAUAGCCUCUGAGGCUUGUCCUGCAGUCAUUUAGGAAAAUCGUCUUUAAAUGUUGUCUCUGUCUCUGUCCCUCUCUUUCUCCUCACCAACAUGAUCUCCAUUUUAAUGUCUGAACUUCUAAAAUAUGCUUAAUAAUUACUGGUAAGUAUACAAGUUAUGAUAAUGAGACACACAUCUAGAAAAAGUCACCUAGACUUUCCAAAGUAAAAAUUGACUUCAUGAAGAGCUAGCACCACCAGCUUUAAGCUCUGGAGAGUGUUGCUGACUGUAUACCUGAAAGUGGGUAGGCAUUAGCUGAGAUCAUUUGAAAUACAGAUUCUGAUUCAGUAGGAUGGGAGGAGGCCUGGACUUCUUUUCUUAGGAGCUCCUGGUGAUGUUAAUGAGGCAGAUCUGUGGACCAUACUGAGUAGCAAGAUGCUAUAAAACUGGUACCUCAUCUCUCUCUUCCUCUCUCUCUUCAUCCUCCAUUGUAUGUUUUCCUUCAAACAUCAACAUUCAGAGUAAAUAAAAAAUCAUGUUUUAUUCAAUAUAUUUAUUUUUCUGUUUUGUUUAAAAGUGACUACAUUUUAGCUCUCCUAUGAGUUAAAAUGGCUUUCUGUGUGUGUGUAAGCAGGGGUAGCUUUUCCAGGAAUGAAAGUACCUUAGAGACCAUUCUUUGCAUAAUCCCAGAUCAAAAUGGCCAACAUAAAUAAUAAUUAUAAUGAUAUUAUUUUUAUUAUGAUAAUGCUGAUUGGACAUAUUCUUUGUUAAGCACUGUAUUAGUGUGUAACUUAAUAUAUUUCUUUGCUCAUGAUAACCACAUAGGUUGGGCACUGUUGCACCAAUCUCAAGUUUAUAGAUGACACACACACAGGGCAAGAGACUUUGAGGAACUGGCCCAGGACCACAAGCAGGAACAUGGUAGAGGCAGGAUUCAACCAAUGCCUGGGAUUAUUCAAAACUUCAAAUCCUGUUAGAAUUUUGGGGCAUGCCACCAUGCAGACUGAGUAUAGCAUGUCCUUCAUGAAAAUGACAGAGGGAAGUGUUUUGUUGGUAUCAGCCCUAAGGCUUGUGGUCUUUUCUUGUUAAUGGGUAUUCCAGAAAGCAUCCUGCUUCAACCAGUUUUCUGUAUAACUGUAUACCUUAAAGUACUGGACAGGUAUCUGGGUACCAGAAGGGACCAACACAACAGGCUAUAGCAGGUGAAGUUUAGCCCCACCUAGGAAGGAGACUGAACAGUUGAAAAGAGCUUCUCAAAAGGCAUGUGGAAUCAAAAGAAAAAUGCAUACGUUGCAUUUCCUUAUUCUGAAUCUUGCAAAAGAUGCAAAAUGCCACUUAAAAAUAGCCCAAUUGUUGGGAUUCUCUCAUGCUGAGGGAUUGAGGAGAAAAUAUAAUCAAACUCCUGUUGAGGAUUUGGCCAUUGGCAUGGGCUUCUAGCUAAACAGCCUGUUUCCUAAGUAGAGUCAGGUCAUUACCAUUGGCAGUAAGGGUCCAGGUGAUCCUGAGGGCAGGGCAUUUAGGGAGGCAGCUGAAAGGCCCUCCACCAACCAGGCAUGAGACAAAUGUGAUUCUCUGCCAUCCACAACCUACACGGAGAGCCCACCACCACCAAACAGUAUAAAAAGAUGAUGAAGAGAGUGAGCUCUAGAGCCAGACUCAGCUGUUAACUAGCCUGGGACCUCGAGCCCUUGUGAUACUCACAUUCCUGGUUUGCAAAAUGGUAUAAUGGUAUCUUCCUGAUACCACUGUGAGAAUUAAAUGAGGAAUUAUUUGGAUAUUGUAAGUGGACCAGAAAUAAUCCCUAGUUUUAUUCACUAUAAUAUUUCCAGACCUAAUGUUUCUUAAUUCAAGGAAGAAACUGAAGAAAUAUUCAUAGUUCUUACAUGAAUGAUCAACUUAGUACAGGAUCUGGAAUAGAGGAGAAACUCAGAUCUUUGCUGGUAUAAACAUGAAAUUUCACACACGAGGAAGACUCAUCAAGACCUGGUAUGCUUAGGGAAACCCAACAGUUAGGAAAUAAGUUUAUGAUGGAAGCUAAUGUUUAAAUAAUGCUUAUGCUCUGUGUUAGACACUCUUGUAACCAAGCACUUAAUAUUCACCGAUACACUAAAAUCUCUAGACACCCCCAUUAUUUACAGGGUAUUUUUAUCACCCAGACCCUAUAUUGCAGAUGAGAACACUGUGGCAUAGAGAAGAUAAUUAUGUCGUUUAAGACCACAGAUCUCAUAAAUGGCAGAGCUUGAAUUUAAAAUCAGAAGGUUUAGCUCCAGAGUCCAUAUUCUCAAUCACUAUCUACCAUUGCUGUUCAUUUAUGAGACUUACAGGGUGUGAGGACUUGCCUCUAGACUUGUACCUCUUUGAGUCUACCCUUAUCUCCAUUUCAAAGAUAGUCUGUCUCCUUGGAAAGAGAACCAUGUGUUAGCGGGGAGUUGUCUGUAGAAAUUGAGGAAGACCAUGUGGGCUAAACUGGAAAUGUACUUUUUCUUUUUUUUGAGACGGAGUUUCGCUCUUGUUACCCAGGCUGGAGUGCAAUGGCGCGAUCUCGGCUCACCGCAACCUCCGCCUCCUGGGUUCAGGCAAUUCUCCUGCCUCAGCCUCCUGCAUAGCUGGGAUUACAGGCACGCACCACCAUGCCCAGCUAAUUUUUUGAUUUUUUUAGUAGAGACGGGGUUUCACCAUGUUGACCAGGAUGGUCUCGAUCUCUUGACCUCGUGAUCCACCCACCUCGGCCUCCCAAAGUGCUGAGAUUACAGGCUUGAGCCACCGUGCCCAGCCGUACUUUUUCCUACUCAUGUUUUUAAGUAAUCGAGCAGAAUUAAAAUUUAUUAAAAUUAAAUUAUGGCUC